rnacentral:rRNA from 1 species
AUUGAACGCUGGCGGCAGGCCUAACACAUGCAAGUCGAACGAGUGGCGGACGGGUGAGUAAUGUCUGGGAAACUGCCCGUUGGAGGGGGAUAACUACUGGAAACGGUAGCUAAUACCGCAUAUCAUCGGAUUUGCCCAGAUGGGCGUAGCUAGUUGGUUGGGUAACGGCUUACCUAGGCGACGAUCCCUAGCUGGUCUGAGAGGAUGACCAGCCACACGGGAACUGAGACACGGUCCAGACUCCGACGGGAGGCAGCAGUGGGGAAUAUUGCACAAUGGGCGCAAGCCUGAUGCAGCCAUGCCGCGUGUAUGAAGAAGGCCUUCGGGUUGUAAAGUACUUUCAGCAGGGAGGCGUUACUCGCAGAAAAAGCACCGGCUAACUCCGUGCCAGCAGCCGCGGUAAUUC